AGCAAGGUCAGCUAAUUAAGCUCUUGGUCCCAUACCCCAAACAUGAUGGUUAAAAUCCCUCCUUUGCUA
rnacentral:tRNA from 2 species